rnacentral:rRNA from 1 species
UACGAAGGGUGCAAGCGUUACUCGGAAUUACUGGGCGUAAAGCGUGCGUAGGUGGUUCGUUAAGUCUGCCGUGAAAGCCCCGGGCUCAACCUGGGAAUUGCAUUCGAGACUGAAUAGCUAGGGUACGGUAGAGGGAAGUGGAAUUUCCGGUGUAGCGGUGAAAUGCGUAGAUAUCGGAAGGAACAUCAGUGGCGAAAGCGACUUCCUGGACCAGUACCGACGUUCAGGCACGAAAGCGUGGGGAGCAAACAGG